AUCUUUUCUCAACAGGAAAAGAAGAACAUGGAAGGGAAAGAAAUUAGACGCAGAGGGACCAGCUGAAGGCUUUGCAUUUUGAACUCCGACCUCUUCUGCUUCCGAAUGAAGAUGCAGGACAUGCCCCAGUUUCAUGGACCUGAGGAACUAAAAAGGCCCCCAACAACAGUGGGCACUUUCUAAGAUGUCCACUUGCUUUACAGCACUGCAGUCAAACAAUUUUGCUCCAGACUGUUUUUUUCGGUCCUGAUGUCUGAAUGCGUUACGUCUCGUAAGCUACCCUUUGCC